rnacentral:siRNA from 1 species
GACGAAGUGCUUGGAAACUGUG